GAUGAACGCUGGCGGCGUGCCUAUAAAUGCCAGUUGAACCGACGGACGAGAAGCUUGCUUCUCUUAUGUUUGCCGCGGGCCGGUGGGUAACACGUUGAUAACCUACCUAUUAGUCCGGGAUUACUUCCGGAAACCGGAGCUCAUUACGGCUAAAUUUUUGAACCGCAUGGUUCCAAAGUGAAAGCCGGUCUUGCUGGCACUUAUAGGUGGAUCCGCGCUGCAUUAGCUAGUUGGUAAGGUAACGGCUUACCAAGGCAACGAUGCAUAGCCGACCUGAGAGGGUGAUCGGCCACACUGGAACUGAGACACGGUCCAGACUCCUACGGGAGGCAGCAGUAGGGAAUCUUCCGCAAUGGGCGAAAGCCUGACGGAGCAACGCCGCGUGAGUGAUGAAGGUCUUCGGAUCGUAAAACUCUGUUAUUAGGGAAGAACAUAUGUGUAAGUAACUGUGCACAUCUUGACGGUACCUAAUCAGAAAGCCACGGCUAACUACGUG
rnacentral:rRNA from 1 species